rnacentral:rRNA from 1 species
CCUACGGGCGGCAGCAGUGAGGAAUAUUGGUCAAUGGACGAGAGUCUGAACCAGCCAAGUAGCGUGAAGGAUGACUGCCCUAUGGGUUGUAAACUUCUUUUAUAUGGGAAUAACAUGUUCCACGUGUGGGAUUUUGUAUGUACCAUAUGAAUAAGGAUCGGCUAACUCCGUUCCAGCAGCCGCGGUAAUACGGAGGAUCCGAGCGUUAUCCGGAUUUAUUGGGUUUAAAGGGAGCGUAGGUGGAUUGUUAAGUCAGUUGUGAAAGUUUGCGGCUCAACCGUAAAAUUGCAGUUGAAACUGGCAGUCUUGAGUACAGUAGAGGUGGGCGGAAUUCGUGGUGUAGCGGUGAAAUGCUUAGAUAUCACGAAGAACUCCGAUUGCGAAGGCAGUUCACUGGACUGCAACUGACACUGAGGCUCGAAAGUGUGGGUAUCAAACAGGAUUAGAUACCCUGGUAGUC